UGUGGUUUCCUGUCAGUCUGGAGGUCCUUGCAUUUCUUUGUCUGCCCAUAGUUUCAUGUUUGCAAGAUGCCUGGUUUCCUGCCACCUGGCCCUGUGCCCCCCUUUCUCUUCUCACACCUAGCUAUUUGCCUGCUGUACCACCGGGUCCUAUCCAGAGCCUAUACUGGUUCUAUAGAACAAAAUUAUUCACAAUUGUUUUCGACUCUUUUUGCAAAUGAUUCAGUGCUUUGGCAUAAAAGGGAAAGGCACAGAAGAAGCAUUCUUCUGGGGAUUAUCCUCUACAAACAUGACUUGUAGGUGCACCAUGAUCCCAACCUCAGAAGCAAACCUCAGGUCCUAAUCCAAGUUCUGCUUUCUAUAGGCCACAGUCUCCUUCUGAGUUGAGAAGGAUGAGGGUGGAGAACAAAACACGUGUGUGUUCUUUGAAGGAAAAUAAAAUCACAUUUAAAAAAUUGUUUGAAAAUGACUUACCUGGGAACCUCCAUAUGCCACGGGUGCGGCCCUAAAAAGCAAAUUAAAAAAAAAAAAAGAAAAGAAAAGUCACAUCUGGGACAAGAUGUUAUUAGUUGUUGACAAAGAUGUGUUUGUGUGUGUGUAUAUAUAUAUGCGCGUGCGUGCGUGUGUGUGUGCACGCACAAGCACACAUGUCCUGGUGUGUGAUUUUGUGCCUGCAGUGGACUUCUGGGGCUGUGAGGAUCCCGGUGAGCAUUCAGCCAGGCUUGGCUCAGGAAGCCUUACAUUGGGUUGCCUGACCUUGUGCUCAGCCCUUGGGUCUCAUGAAGAGGUUUGACCAACUCUAGGAUGCUCACUGUGCCCAGGUGCCAUUUCGGAGGUCUUUAAACAGAUCUUUGGGUUUAUACAUAAGUAAUAAGUAUACCUUUUAUGAAUGGCUCCCAGUUAUAUAUCACAUAACCCCUGGGGGUUAAGUCAUGAACAAGCCUGGUGCCUUUGCGCAGAGGGCUGAAUGUUACGGUAGAAAAAAAUGUAUUUCUCUUCCAAAUUAUCGCUAGUGAUUUGAGUUAACAUUUCCUUCCUAAUUCCAACUAGAAAUGAUGCUGACUCUCAGGACCACCAUCCACACCCUUCUCAGAAAUUCAGGGGAUGCGCAGUCAUCUGAGUCAUCUGCAUGGAGGGUUACUAUUUGCAGAGAACAUGUGUUUGGUGUAUACGGGGCCUGGAGACGGUGACUGUGUAAUUUCUAUCUCAAACCCGAAUGCCCUCGAGAGCAAAAGGGACUGCUAUUAAUAAUUAUACUGGGGCAAAUGGACUGAACCUGGACCUUCCUGGGCAAACUUGGACAUGUAGGCAUCUUAUUUGUCUAAGAUCUUUGAACUCUUUCCCUCCUAGUCCCUCAGAAGACACUGAGAAAAAUGAACAGAUCCCUGGAUUCCUCAGGAUCGAAGCCCUUAUAAUGUGGAAGAUCUUAGCAAAUAUUGGGCGGCUGGAUUUACUUAGGUAGUUGAUCAUGGGCAGAGAUCAUGGGGGAGAAGGACCAAGGAAUGCGCUUCCAGGCUGUCUGUUUCACCCAGAGGCAGCAGUAGGAUGUGUGGAUCAGAGAAUGGCCUUGGAAUCAACCAGGCUUGUGAUUUACUUUCUCAGGGACCCUGGGUAAAUUAUUUAAUCACUCUGAGCAUCAAUUUUCCAGAUCUAAAAAUGAUAGCAUUUGUUUCCUUAAAUGACUGUUAUGAUGAGUCCGUGUGAUGACUUGUGAGAAAGAUUCCAGCACCUUGCACACUCCUCUUCCUUGUAUGAAGGCCCGAAGGCCACUUAAUGCACAGGGAAGACAGGGGGAUGGAAAGGAGCAGUAAUAAAGGAGAGUUUACUUUAGUAGUCAUGUUGCAGACUGGUAAUGGUCAUGGCUGUAACAUACCCCACGUGUGGAAUAGUUCAGGAAAGAGAAUUGCUUGCUUAAGUUAUCCAAAGACGUUUCCUCCCUGUAUCUCCCAGAGAGAAGCCACUGGGAGAGUCUCCAUUUCUAUCAAAAGGUUAGAAAUGAGAGCUCAACAUUAGUCAGCUCUUGCUUAAUUAAACAGAGACCUUGAGGAUGGGGAAGCUGAUGGCUUCCCUCUCUUCUCAGAUGUUGGGACGCCUCAAACAUUGUGCAGAGAAGCAGAGAGAGGGGAAGGGAGCUGGCUCUUAUAUAUUCAUCUUACAUAGGCAUCAGGAGUGCAGGUGAGCCACCUGCCUAUGGCACAUGGGCCGGGUCCCCUCUUAGGAUAGAUUCUAGCUUUAAGGCUGCUGUCAGGGAGAGGUUAGCACCAUGCACAGCAUAAUGCAAGGGAUGUGAAGGAGAAGGCAGGGUUUGGAACAAAGAGUAACUAAAUCUUUACCCUGUGGGGUCUGUGCCAUGGGAUUUUGCUGUUUUUUUUUAUUCCAAAUUUAUAACAAGGUGUAAGCAGAUCAGCAGGAGGCCAGGUAUACUGGCCCAUGCAGGGUCAAGAGGUGAUUUGCAAUAUGAUUGCUCAUCCUUCUGAUAUCAAUUCAUCUAAAGUGUGGAUCCUACAUUGGUGCCUCUGCAUGGGCCUCAAUUCAAAUCGGCCAUCUUUGGGGCGGGAGCAGAGCCACAUCAUGAGCACUCAGGCUACCUGGCAGGCAUCUUCUGGACACAAACGUGCUUGGAAUUGGGUUGGUCGGAUGAUUUCACCUUUUUAUUGCAACACUGCAGCAUUGCCAUGAGGUCUUCAGUCCCUCCGUGAUGGCAGACCUGUGUGGUAGCAAUGUUCCAGGCACAGAAAUGAGACCAGUGCUGUGGCUUUGCCUCUGCAUGAAGCUGUUCAUAAUUGGGGCUUCUGCCUGGAACCUCUAAAGUGCAUAACCACAGCCGGUUGCUUGGCUCUUGCUUCAAUGUGGACAAGCCAAGGGUCCUCUUGUUCGACACUGGCAUAACCUGGCAAUGACUGCUGCCUCCAGGCUGUGUCCUGAAUGCUCUGCUCCAGGCUCUUCCCCACAAAACUACGCAUCUAAACACACGGAAGUCCUCAGCAAGCCAAAUCAUAAGCAAGCACAUUUUUAAACAUCUCUGACUCUCACCUUUCUUACCAGUAGAAGGGGAGUUUCAUGAUCACAGGGGUGUUUGCGUACUGAAUCAAAUAGUGACUCUUGCAAGCACUGGUCACCAUUGUUGUUCAAGACUCUGAAAUCCAUGAAGGCAGAGUCUGUUUUUCCUUGCUUCCAUUUCCUGAGUUUGGCAUCUGGUGGGGACUAAGAAAUAUUUAUUGCAUAAAUCAUCUACUACCAUAACUUAGUUUAAAGACUAAUAAUUAAAACACCAUUCUUUAGCUGCCAUGUUUUGUAAACCAUAUUGAAAUGUUUCUAUUGGUGUCUGUAAAAGGAAGUAAAGAUCCAAGGGCGAUGCCAUGAGUAUCCUUCGGUUAUUGGCUUUAUUUUUUAUAUGUUUGCAGUAUUUAGUAAUUUCAAAAAUAGACUGAAAGAAGAGAAAGUAAGAAGCUCUAGAGGCUUGUGUUUGUUGUUUGAUAAACAGGCAGGUAGACAGCUGAAGCAAAAUGGACCAAGGUGACCACAUGGCCAAUUGCUUCUUUGAAAAGGGAAGCCAGUUCUUGGGCCGAGACUGGAGUGAGCGUAGACCCUGGCCCAGCUCCAUGACUACAGCCAGUGCCUGGGAACAUAGAGCUAGGCCCUGCUAGGGCACCUAGAUUUUGUGUUUCCAGGAUCACAUGUUUCACUUUAAGAACUGGGUUGGCUGUCAAGUGUACCUGCUGGGUUGAUGCUAGUGCAAGCGUGCAUAAAGUAAUGGACAUGGUCUAUCAGGGUUUAUUCCUCUAACGUGCCUGCAUCCGAACUUUUUUUUUUUUUUUUUNUUUUUUUUUUUUUUUUUUUUUUUCAAAAUAAAACCAGUGUGUCAGGAGUUCCCAUUGUGGCUUAGCAGUAACGAACCCAAGUAGGAUCCAUGAGGAUGUGGGUUUGAUCCCUGGCCUCACUCCGUGGGUUAAGGAUCCAGCAUUGCCACGAGCUAUGGUGAAGGUUACAGAUGCAGUUCGGAUCUGGCAUAGCUGUGGGUGUGGUGUAAGCCGGCAGCUAUAGCUCUGAUUCGACUCCUAGUCUGGGAACUUCCAUGUGCCAUGGGUGCGGCCCUAAAAAGCAAAAGUAAAAAAACAAA
rnacentral:lncRNA from 1 species